UCUUGAAAGGUGGUCUACACACUUUUUAAAAGAUCCAGUUCAAUAUCAUCCAUGGAAGCCUUUCCUGGAGAAGACAAAGGAGCAAGUGAGCAGUGUCACCUCUGCAGCUGUGAUCCCUGCCCAGGCUUGUACAAGUGCUUUGAGAUGGAUCUUCUUUGAAGCUGCGUCAAAGUAGCUCUGAAGCGGGAGAAAGUUUAAAAUUUUUAGGCUGAAAAUCUAAACAGCCUCAAUAUGCUGUAUAAAAUUGUUCUGAGAAUCGAACCUCCUACUAUGGCACCCUGGAGCAUUCAGUCACUUUCAAUAAAUCUCUUCU
rnacentral:lncRNA from 1 species